rnacentral:rRNA from 1 species
UGAACGCUAGCGGCGUGCCUGAGAUAUGCAAGUCGAGCGUAGGUCUGUAGCAAUACAGACUUCAGCGGCGGACGGCUGAGUAAUACAUAGGAAUCUACCCCUAACUGGGGGAUAGCCCACCGAAAGGUGGGAUAAUACCCCAUAGUCUAAGCCUAGCUUAGUAAAGGCGCAAGCCGGUAAGGGAUGAGCCUGUGGCCUAUCAGGUAGUUGGCGGGGUAAAGGCCCACCAAGCCUACGACGGGUAGCUAAUCUGAGAGGAUGGUUAGCCAGAGGGGGACUGCGACACGGCCCCCACUCCUACGGGAGGCAGCAAUCAGGAAUAGUCGGCAAUGGGCGAAAGCCUGACCGCGCGACGCCGUGUGAGGGAUGAAGCUCGAAAGAGUGUAAACCUCUGUGGUAGGGGAAGAAACAAAUGACGGUACCCUACUAGAAAGGAGCCGCUAACUGCGUGCCAGAAGCGUCGGUAAUACGUGGGCUUCAAGCGUUAUCCGGUUUUAUUGGGCGUAAAGGGUCGUGUAGGCGGUCUAUUAAGUUAUCUUUUAAACUCUCCGGCUCAACUGGGGAUUGGGGAUAAUACUGGUAGACUAGAAUUUUCUUUAGGGUAAAUGGAACUGAGGGAGGAGUAGUGAAAUGCGUUGAUACCCUCGGGAACACCAGUGGCGAAGGCGAUUUACUGGAAGAAGAUUGACGCUGAGACACGAAAGCUAGGGGAGCGAAGCAGAUUAGAGACCUGCGUAGUCCUAGCCCUAAACGAAUGCUUGCUAGCUGCAUUUUCCCUCAACGCAAGUUGGGAUAAGUGUGGCGAAGGUAACCCGUUAAGCAAGCCGCCUGGGGAUUACGGCCGCAAGGCUAAAACUCAAAGGAAUUGGCGGGGAGGCACACAACCAGUGGAACAUGUGGUUUAAUUCGAUACAAAACGAAGCACCUCACCAGGGCUUGACAUCUAAGCGUCCUAUUUCCUGGAAACAGGAGAAAUUCGUAAGAAGGUUUAGACAGGUGCUGCAUGGCUGUCGUCAGUUCGUUCCGUGAGGAGUGCCCUUAAGUGGGACAACGAACGCAACCCCCAUCUUGUGUUAAAAAUGUCACAAGAGACUGCCCUUGCUUUGCAGGGGAGGAAGGAGGGGCAGACGUCAAGUCAGCAUGGUCCUUAUGCCCUGGGCCACACACAUGUUACAAUGAACAACAACAAUGAGCUUUGCCAGCACGUAAGUGUGAGCCAAUCUCUUAAAUUUGUUCUCAGUAGGGAUUGAGGUCUGCAACUCGACCUCAUGAACGCGGAAUUGGUAGUAAUCGCGGGUCAGCCAUACCGCGGUGAAUACGUUCUUGCCUCUUGCACACACCGCCCGUCAAACCA